UCAUCUUCGGGGGUAGAGCACUGUUUCGGCUAGGGGGUCAUCCCGACUUACCAACCCGAUGCAAACUACGAAUACCGAAGAAUGUUAUCACGGGAGACACACGGCGGGUGCUAACGUCCGUCGUGAAGAGGGAAACAACCCAGACCGCCAGCUAAGGUCCCAAAGUCAUGGUUAAGUGGGAAACGAUGUGGGAAGGCACAGACAGCCAGGAUGUUGGCUUAGAAGCAGCCAUCAUUUAAAGAAAGCGUAAUAGCUCACUGGUCGAGUCGGCCUGCGCGGAAGAUGUAACGGGGCUAAACCAUGCACCGAAGCUGCGGCAGCGACACUAUGUGUUGUUGGGUAGGGGAGCGUUCUGUAAGCCUGCGAAGGUGACCUGUGAGGGUUGCUGGAGGUAUCAGAAGUGCGAAUGCUGACAUAAGUAACGAUAAAGCGGGUGAAAAGCCCGCUCGCCGGAAGACCAAGGGUUCCUGUCCAACGUUAAUCGGGGCAGGGUGAGUCGACCCCUAAGGCGAGGCCGAAAGGCGUAGUCGAUGGGAAACAGGUUAAUAUUCCUGUACUUGGUGUUACUGCGAAGGGGGGACGGAGAAGGCUAUGUUAGCCGGGCGACGGUUGUCCCGGUUUAAGCAUGUAGGCUGGUUAUCCAGGCAAAUCCGGAUAAUCAAGGCUGAGGUGUGAUGACGAGGCACUACGGUGCUGAAGUAACAAAUGCCCUGCUUCCAGGAAAAGCCUCUAAGCAUCAGGUAACAUCAAAUCGUACCCCAAACCGACACAGGUGGUCAGGUAGAGAAUACCAAGGCGCUUGAGAGAACUCGGGUGAAGGAACUAGGCAAAAUGGUGCCGUAACUUCGGGAGAAGGCACGCUGGUGUGUAGGUGAAGCCCCUGCGGGUGGAGCUGAGACCAGUCGAAGAUACCAGCUGGCUGCAACUGUUUAUUAAAAACACAGCACUGUGCAAACACGAAAGUGGACGUAUACGGUGUGACGCCUGCCCGGUGCCGGAAGGUUAAUUGAUGGGGUUAUCCGUAAGGAGAAGCUCUUGAUCGAAGCCCCGGUAAACGGCGGCCGUAACUAUAACGGUCCUAAGGUAGCGAAAUUCCUUGUCGGGUAAGUUCCGACCUGCACGAAUGGCGUAAUGAUGGCCAGGCUGUCUCCACCCGAGACUCAGUGAAAUUGAACUCGCUGUGAAGAUGCAGUGUACCCGCGGCAAGACGGAAAGACCCCGUGAACCUUUACUAUAGCUUGACACUGAACAUUGAGCCUUGAUGUGUAGGAUAGGUGGGAGGCUUUGAAGCGUGGACGCCAGUCUGCGUGGAGCCAACCUUGAAAUACCACCCUUUAAUGUUUGAUGUUCUAACGUUGGCCCCU
rnacentral:rRNA from 1 species